GACGUAGGGCGCGAGCGUUGUCCGGAUUUAUUGGGCGUAAAGAGCUCGUAGGCGGCUUGUCGCGUCGUCUGUGAAAUCCCGCGGCUCAACUGCGGGCUGGCAGUCGAUACGGGCAGGCUGGAGUUCGGUAGGGGGGACUGGAAUUCCUGGUGUAGCGGUGAAAUGCGCAGAUAUCAGGAGGAACACCGGUGGCGAAGGCGGGUCUCUGGGCCGAUACUGACGCUGAGGAGCGAAAGCGUGGGGAGCGAACAGG
rnacentral:rRNA from 1 species